CUGCCCGGUAGCUAAAUGCGGAAGAGAUAAGUGCUGAAAGCAUCUAAGCACGAAACUUGCCCCGAGAUGAGUUCUCCCUGACCCUUUAAGGGUCCUGAAGGAACGUUGAAGACGACGACGUUGAUAGGCCGGGUGUGUAAGCGCAGCGAUGCGUUGAGCUAACCGGUACUAAUGAACCGUGAGGCUUAACCUUACAACGCCGAAG
rnacentral:rRNA from 2 species